UGGCGGAGGAGUGGUUGCGUCGUCGUCGUCGUCGUCGUCGGUCGGAUCGGGAAGCAGCAGCAGCAGCAGCAGGCAGAACCGACGCACCACGAGGGGGCAGUUUCACUACAAGUUCGCUUCCGAAUUCUCCUUCGAGGAGCAAAUACUGAGAUAUAUAUAUUGUAUAUACAUAGCACACAUACAUAUAUAUAUCUUGUUAUUAUAGCCAGGUUUCUUUUCUUUAUCGUACGCGUCUACAAAUUGAGGGAAGGAGGGAAGGAGGAGAAGGGAAAGAGAAAGAGGAGGAGGAAGAAGGCAAAACUAUUCACGUCAUACGGCCGAUGACGUCGAAAGAGAGAGAGAGAGAGAGUAUAAAUCCUUCGUGUAACUUCGGUGCCUUCGUCGUUAAUACACCACUCCUACGAUCGAUAGAGGACACGCACUCAACGUCUACGCCAUUUGAAUAUUUUAAAGCGAACCUCUCGCAUUUUUAAAAUGCGAAUAUAGACGACGAUGACGACGACGACGACACCGGCUUGCUGGUCGUCAUUUUGAAAUAUCCUACGCUACCCAGUAAUAAUAUUGGUCAGUUUACAUCUAUCAAUUUUCGUAAGACGAAGGGUAAUAUAGAAGAACAUGCUGGACAUGAAGAUGACAAGAUUUCCAUGUGAAAAAGUAUGUUAAAGGGACGAUCAUCUCUGUUCGUGCCUAUUUCGUUAAAAAUAAAGAUCUAUUAUCGACGUAAAAAAAGUGCGAGAGAGAGAAAGAGAGAGAAAAAGAGAGAUACGCGACGAAUGAACGAAACAAAAAUUUUUUUAAUUAAAUAUAAAAAGAAGAAAGAAAAAAUGAGGGAUACUAAGUAAAAAAGAAAGGACAUCGAGACACAAAAAAAAAAAUCAACUUCGAAGCCGGCUCUGAAGUAUCGCGAUACUUACGUACGAAAUGAGCCCUGAACAAAGGAGGAAAUUAUUCGCGUCUCAUCUUGAAACAAUUGUUCGCCUUUUCGCGAAGAAGGUAAAACGGAUGAAAGGAGGAACUGCUACCGGGAUGUUUACCGAGUAUCGACGCCGAGCCACUGUAACAGAGAGCGUAUGUAGAGAGAAAGAGAGCGAGUAAGAUAGAAACAGAAGAGAGAGGUAGGGCUAGAGGUAGAGGGAAGGCGGGAGAGAGGAGAGAAAAGAGAAAAGAGAGAGAGAGAGAGAGGUGGUGAAGGAGAGGAACGAGAGAAUCUCGAAGCAGCAGGGUUCGAAAUCCGUCGUCCUAUCACACGAACGCAUCCGAUUCACUGAGAAAAGCGACUCGACGAAUCACAGAUCGCAGUAUGCGGCCAGGCAUUGGCAACGCGAGCGAGAGGAUUCCGCGGUGUCGGACCUUUCGGCGAUGCGGCUACGCGCUGGAGUGUAUGAACCGUGCUGAUCUAACCUAACGUUCAUGUCGCAUACACACGACGAAGAAAGAAGCUUUAGGGCGAAUGCCGAGAGCAAAUAAA